AAAACACCAUUGAUUUGAAUUCCUGUUUACCAGAGGAGUGCACUAAUGCUGCAUUGGAACACUCACCAAAGCAUAUGGGCCUGGGUGGCCUUUGCCUCCCUUCUCCUCCUGUCUAGUCUCUGACGCUCCUCCAGAUGCUGUUUCUGGGUGUUGGCCUCAUCCCACAAACCCGCCUCCAUAAGGCGUUGGUCAGGUCGCAGGCGGCUGUCUGUUGGGGCCACUCCGUCCUCUAGCUCAUUCAGUGUCAGUGCCAGGGAAGAGAAAAAGUGCAUGUUCUCAGCAUUAGCCCUGUUGUGGUGGACAGAGAAGGAGAGCAGGAAAAAAUUAAAGAGAGUGGAAAUAUAGAUUGACAGCAUAUCUGAUAGUACAUAAUGGCUGGAGGUCUACAGAAAGCCUAAAGUGAGUGUGCCGGAGUGACUAGCCAGCUGUUCUUACGGAAGAGGGUAUUUUUUCCACAGCAGUUUAGGUUGGAGGGUCUGGUACACGGUCUUCUGUUUACCCUCUGAUCCGCCACACCCCCGACUGCUUUCUACAAUCUUGGCGCUUUCCAUUUUGUCAUCCCACGUGCCUGACAGGAUGUAGUGAGCUAUCCCCUCGCUGUUGGCCACUACCCCUGUAACCUGGAGAUACGGGGAGAUACAAGACACGACAGAGAGGAAGUGAGAGAGGGAGACAAAAAGAGGAAGAAGAGGAUAGGUAAAUAUAGGAGGAAGACAAGAGAAUAACUUGUUUUCCGCAGUGAGGAUACAGAACUGUACACCAGCGUCCAAUAGAGUACACAAUGUACCUUGCGAGGGACGUCUCUGGAGAAGUAGCUGUAGGGAGAAAACUUGAGGUGGCAGGUCUCCUUGGUCCUGUGAUUGGCAAUUUCAAUGUCCCCAGACUGAAGAAAAAGAGAUCUCAAGAUGGAGCGAUAGCCAUAUUCAUCAAGGCGGUCCAGCUCAUAGGUCUCCCCCAGCAGGGGGUUGAAGGGCUUUGCGGUGCGGUGGACAGUGGUGGAGUAGGAGGAAACAGAAAAGGCCGCCACCAGACACAUCUGGUCCAAAGAAGAAUCGCAGCGAGCUGCCCUGUCCAAAAUCUCACUAUACUCCAGGUCCUCAGUCAGUCGCUGCAACAUCGAAAGCGGCUCACUGAAAUUGACCUUUAGGGGGGGAAAACAUUUUUUGCAUUGGGAAUGAAAAAUAGCAUUCUCUUUUUUUGGAAUGACAGCGUGUCCAUUUCUGUCUUUUCUCACAGGCAUGGGGAUCUUGGACAGCUCCUUGCCAAUGCAGUUCUUCAUGAUGCUCCACAGGUUGAGGGAAUAGUUUGGUUUAUCUGGGAUGCGGCUGCGUCGGGUCCUACACAGCUGCAGGUGGUUAGAACCUGACGAGUCCUGCGAAACAUCCAUUAUAAUAAAAAAGUAGUUUGAUACUG